rnacentral:rRNA from 1 species
UACGUAGGGCGCAAGCGUUGUCCGGAAUUAUUGGGCGUAAAGAGCUCGUAGGCGGCCUGUUGCGUCCGCUGUGAAAUCCCGGGGCUCAACCCCGGGCGUGCAGUGGAUACGGGCUGGCUGGAGGCAGGCAGGGGAGAACGGAAUUCCUGGUGUAGCGGUGAAAUGCGCAGAUAUCAGGAGGAACACCGGUGGCGAAGGCGGGUCUCUGGGCAACAACUGACGCUGAGGCACGAAGGUCAGGGGAGCAAACGGG